UACGGGGGGGGCAAGCGUUGUUCGGAAUUACUGGGCGUAAAGGGCUCGUAGGCGGCCAACUAAGUCAUACGUGAAAUCCCUCGGCUUAACCGGGGAACUGCGUCUGAUACUGGAUGGCUUGAGUUCGGGAGAGGGAUGCGGAAUUCCAGGUGUAGCGGUGAAAUGCGUAGAUAUCUGGAGGAACACCGGUGGCGAAGGCGGCAUCCUGGACCGAUACUGACGCUGAGGAGCGAAAGCCAGGGGAGUAAACGGG
rnacentral:rRNA from 1 species